AUACUUACCUGGCAGGGGAGAUACCAUGAUCACGAAGGUGGUUUUCCCAGGGCGAGGCUUAUCCAUUGCACUCCGGAUGUGCUGACCCCUGCGAUUUCCCCAAAUGUGGGAAACUCGACUGCAUAAUUUGUGGUAGUGGGGGACUGCGUUCGCGCUUUCCCUGA
ensembl:snRNA U1 U1 spliceosomal RNA